AUGGCGGACACCCGGGAAGAAUCGGAACCCCUUCUGAGCCGGGCCCGCGGCGGCAGCGGCCGCGACUGCCCAAGGGGCGUACCCGCUUGCAGCAGCGUCCAAGAGAGCCCUGGUGCCGCAGCCAGGCGGGAUCUGUGCUUGGACCAGGCUGUGGUCCUCAUCGAAGACGCCAUCCAGUAUCGCUCCAUCAACCACCGCAUGGACGCCCGGUCUCUGUGGCUCUACAGGCGGUACUACUCCGGCAGCAGCCAGUGGAUUCUGAGCUUCACCAUUUUCUUGAUCCUGGCUUUGGCCUUCGUUGAGACCCCUUCCUCGCUCACGCGCACCUCGGACGUGCGCUACCGCCUGGCCCCCUGGGAGCCGCCCUGUGGCCUGACCGAGGGCGUCGAGGCGCUCUGCCUGCUGGUCUUCGCGGCCGACGUCUCUGUGAAGAGCUACCUGAUUGGGUGGGCCCAGUUCCGGAGGAACCCCUGGCUGCUGGCCUACCUCGUGGUGCUGGUUGUGUCUCUCCUGGACUGGAUCGUGUCGCUGAGUCUCGUCUGCCAGGAGCCCCUGCGAGUGCGCCGGCUGCUGCGCCCCUUCUUCCUGAUGCAGAAUUCCUCCAUGAUGAAGAAGACGCUCAAGUGCAUCAGGCGCUCGCUGCCGGAGAUGGCCAGCGUCGGGCUGCUGCUGGCCGUGCACCUGUGUCUCUUCACCGUGUUUGGGAUGCUGCUCUUCACCGGCGAGAAGGACGCCGGGCAGGACCGGGAGCGGCUGACCUACUUCUUCAACCUGCCUGAGGCGCUGACCACCCUCCUGGUGCUGCUGACCACCGCCAACAAUCCCGACGUGAUGAUCCCUGUGUAUUCCAGGAACCGAGCCUACGCCAUCUUCUUCAUAGCCUUCACCCUGAUUGGGAGCUUGUUUUUGAUGAACCUGAUGACGGCCAUCAUCUACAACCAGUUCCGGGGCUACCUGAUGAUGUCUCUCCAGACCUCACUGUUGCGGAGACGCCUGGGGACCCGGGCUGCCUACAAGGUCCUCUCGUCCGUGACAGCAGAGGGAGAAACCCACCCCGAGCGACUUGGGGUGAAGCCUGAGGAUUUCUUGCAAGUGCUCCAGAAAGUCCAGCUGGACAGUGACCACAAACAGGCCAUCACAGAGAAGCUGCAUUCCCGUGGCGGCGGCCUGCUAUCAACUGACGAGUUUCAGAAACUCUUUGACGAGUUUGAAAAGAGGGUGGUUAAAGAGCACCCGCCGCGGCCCGAGUACCGGUCUCCGUUUCUGCGGACCACCCAGUUCCUCUUCGGCCACCACUACUUUGACUACCUGGGCAACCUCAUGGCCCUCGGAAACCUCGUGACCAUCUGCGUGUUCCUGGUAUUGGACGCACACGUGCUGCCCAAGGACCGUGACGACUUCGUGCUAGGGAUUCUCAACUGCAUCUUCAUCCUGUACUACCUGCUGGAGAUGCUGCUCAAGGCGUUCUCUCUGGGCCUGCAGGGCUACCUGUCCUACUCCAGCAACGUGUUUGACGGGCUCCUCACCAUCGUCCUGCUGGUUUUGGAGAUCUCCACUCUGGCUGUGUACGGCUUCCCACACCGGGGCUGGAAGCCGGCAAUGCUGGGUCUGCUGUCGCUGUGGGACAUGACGCGGCUGGUGAACGUGCUCAUCGUCUUCCGCUUCCUACGCAUCAUCCCCAGCAUGAAGCUGAUGUCCCUGGUGGCCAGCACCAUCCUGGACCUGAUCAAGAACAUGCGGGCCUUCGGCGGGAUCCUGGUGGUGAUUUACUACGUCUUUGCCAUCAUUGGCAUCAGCCUGUUCCGGGGCGUCGUCGUGGCUCCUAGAAACAGCAGCCUAGCCUCUGUUAAUGGUUCCGUGCCCUGCGGGAGCUUUGAGCAGCUGGAAUACUGGCCCAACAACUUCGAUGACUUUGCAGCCGCCCUGGUCACUCUGUGGGACGUGAUGAUUGUGAACAACUGGCAGGUGUUCCUGGACGCCUUCCGGCGCUACGCGGGCCCGUGGUCAGAGGUGUAUUUUGUGCUCUGGUGGCUGGUGUCUUCGGUCAUUUGGGUCAACCUGUUUCUGGCUCUGAUUUUGGAGAACUUCCUUCACAAGUGGGACCGCCGCAGCCACCUGCAGUCGCUCACGGAGGAGCUGGAGGACACCUCUGAGAUGACCGAGGAGCUCCCGUUCAGGUGCGUGGGGGCGGGCACGGGGCGGGAGGCAGGGCGAGAGGGAGGGUGGGGCCUGGGGCAGGAGGCGGGGCGAGAGGGAGGGUGGGGCCUGGGGCAGGAGGCGGGGCGAGAGGGAGGGCGGGGCGUGGGGCAAGAGUCUGGGCUGAGAGGGGGUGGGGCAGGACCAGGAGGUGGGGCGAAAGGACGCUGUGUAGGAGGAGAAGCGGGGUUGACAAGGGGGGCGGGGCGGGAGGCGGGGCUGAGAUGGUGGGGCGGGGCCUGGGCCGGAAGGCGGGGCCAGGAGGGAGGGUGGGGCGGGAGGCGGGGCGUGGGGCGAGAGGCGGGGCCGAGAGGGAGGGAGGCAGUGGGCAGGUGCUCCCCUUGGGACCUCCUCCUGCCGUGGAGCUGA
rnacentral:lncRNA from 1 species